rnacentral:rRNA from 1 species
ACUCCUACGGGAGGCAGCAGUGGGGAAUAUUGCACAAUGGGCGCAAGCCUGAUGCAGCCAUGCCGCGUGUGUGAAGAAGGCCUCGGUUGUAAAGCACUUUCAGUCGUGAGGAAGGUAGUGUAGUUAAUAGCUGCAUUAUUUGUACGUUAGCGACAGAAGAAGCACCGGCUAACUCCGUGCCAGCAGCCGCGGUAAUACGGAGGGGUGCGAGCGUUAAUCGGAAUUACUGGGCGUAAAGCGCAUGCAGGUGGUUUGUUAAGUCAGAUGUGAAAGCCCGGGGCUCAACCUCGGAAUUGCAUUUGAAACUGGCAGACUAGAGUACUGUAGAGGGGGUAGAAUUUCAGGUGUAGCGGUGAAAUGCGUAGAGAUCUGAAGGAAUACCGGUGGCGAAGGCGGCCCCCUGGACAGAUACUGACACUCAGAUGCGAAAGCGUGGGGAGCAAACAGGAUUAGAU